CCUACGGGUGGCAGCAGUGAGGAAUAUUGGUCAAUGGGCGCGAGCCUGAACCAGCCAAGUAGCGUGAAGGAUGACUGCCCUACGGGUUGUAAACUUCUUUUAUAAAGGAAUAAACUGUUGCACGUGUGGAUUUUUGUAUGUACUUUAUGAAUAAGGGUCGGCUAACUCCGUGCCAUCAGCCGCGGUAAUACGGAGGAUCCGAGCGUUAUCCGGAUUUAUUGGGUUUAAGGGGAGCGUAGAUGGGUUGUUAAGUCAGUUGUGAAAGUUUGCGGCUCAACCGGAAAAUUGCAAUUGAUACUGGCAGUCUUGAGUACAGUAGAGGUGGGCGGAAUUCGUGGUGUAGCGGUGAAAUGCGUAGAUAUGACGAAGAACUCCGAUUGCGAAGGCAGCUUACU
rnacentral:rRNA from 1 species